AACAGUAUGCCUGAUAAAAGGAAUAAAUUGUAAAUUUAAAAAUAGUUGAAAACUUUCUGUUA
rnacentral:tRNA from 1 species